AUGUCAUUGCUUGGGGGUGGGGUCAGCGCCCUGUGCCUCCCGUUGCCUUAUGGCUUCUCCGCCAUGCAAGGCUGGCGUAUCUCUAUGGAAGAUGCUCACAACUGUAUCCCUGAGCUGGACAGUGAGACAGCCAUGUUUUCUCAAACACUGAUACCUUUAGUUUGACUAAUGCUAGAUUAGGGGAGGAAGUUGCCUUGUACUGUGCCAAAUAUCUUCCUGAUAUCAAAGAUCAGAAGGCUUACAAGGAAGGCAAGCUACAGAAGGCUUUAGAAGAUGGCUUUUUGGCUAUAGAUGCCAAACUUAUUACUGAGGAAGUCAUUAAAGAGCUAGCCCAGAUUGCAGGGAGACCCACAGAAGAUGAGGAUGAAAAAGAUAAAGUAGCUAGUGAAGAUGAUGUGCGAGGAGGCUGCAUUGCUGCAUAAAGAGGCUACCAUGACUAUUGAAAAACUGCUGACACGCUACGGGCAGAACUGUCACAAGGGCCCUCCCCACAGCAAAAAUGGAGCUGGGAUAGGUGAGGAACCAGGGUCCCAGGGCCUCAAUGGGGAGGCAGGACCUGAGGACCCAUCUAGGGAAAUUCCUUCACAGAAAAAUGGCCCCACAUCCAAGGCCCACACAGGCCUUUCCUCCAACUUGGAACGUGGGGCUGAGGCAGGCCAAAUUGGUAAGCCUUGCACUCCCACUGGUGAGGCUGGGCCUUCCUGCUCAUCAGCCUCCGACAAGCUGCCUCAAGUUGCUAAGUCCAAGUCCUUUGAGGACAGUAAGGAAGAGUCAGAUGAAGCGGAGGAGGAUGAGGAAGACAGUGAGGACUGUAGUGAGGAAGAGGAUGGCUAUAGCAGCAAGGAGGCAGAGAAUGAGGAAGAUGAGGAUGACGCUGAGGAGGCGGAAGAGGAUGAUGUAGAAGAAAUGAUGGUGCCAGGGAUGGAAGGCAAAGAGGAGCCUGGUUCUGACAGUGGCACAACAGCAGUGGUGAUUCUCAUACGAGGAGAGCAGUUGAUUGUAGAUAACGCAGGAGAUUCUGGCUGUGUGGUAUCUGAGACUGGCAAAGCUUUAGACAUGUCCUAUGACCAUAAACCUGAGGAUGAAAUGGAGCUAGCAUGCACCAAGAAUACUGGCAGCAAGGUCACCAUGGAUGGACGAGUCAAUGGGGGCCUCAACCUCUUCAGAGCUAUUGGAGACCACUUCUACAAGAGGAACAAGAACCUGCAGCCUGAGGAACAGACAAUUUUAGCCCUUUCUGACAUCAAGGUGCUGACUCUCACUGAUGACCAUGAAUUCAUGGUCAUUGCUUGUGAUGGCAUCUGGAAUGUGAUGAGAAGCCAGGAAGUUGUAGACUUUAUUCAGUCAAAGAUCACCCAGCGUGAUGAAAAUGGGGAGCUUUGGUUAUUGUCAUCCAUUACGGAAGAGCUGCUGGAUCAGUGCCUGACACCAGACACUUUGGGGGAUGGCACAGGGUGUGACAACAUGACCUGCAUCAUCAUCUGUUUCAAGCCCCGAAGCACAGCAGAACUCUAGCCAGAGAGCGGCAAGCGGAAACUUGAGGAGGUGCUUCUGAGGAGGCUGAAGAGAAUGGCAACAGCGACAAGAAAGCCAAGAGGGACUAG